GAUGAACGCUGGCGGCGUGCUUAACACAUGCAAGUCGAACGGUGAAGGCGGAGCUUGCUCUGCUGGAUCAGUGGCGAACGGGUGAGUAACACGUGAGCAAUCUGCCCCUGACUCUGGGAUAAGCGCUGGAAACGGCGUCUAAUACUGGAUACGAGCUGCGAAGGCAUCUUCAGCAGCUGGAAAGAAUUUCGGUCAGGGAUGAGCUCGCGGCCUAUCAGCUUGUUGGUGAGGUAAUGGCUCACCAAGGCGUCGACGGGUAGCCGGCCUGAGAGGGUGACCGGCCACACUGGGACUGAGACACGGCCCAGACUCCUACGGGAGGCAGCAGUGGGGAAUAGUGCACAAUGGGCGAAAGCCUGAUGCAGCAACGCCGCGUGAGGGACGACGGCCUUCGGGUUGUAAACCUCUUUUAGCAGGGAAGAAGCGAAAGUGACGGUACCUGCAGAAAAAGCGCCGGCUAACUACGUG
rnacentral:rRNA from 1 species